rnacentral:rRNA from 1 species
GACGAACGCUGGCGGCGUGCCUAACACAUGCAAGUCGAACGGAAGUAAGUGCUUCGGUAUUUACUUUAGUGGCGAACGGGUGAGUAACGCGUGAGGAGCCUGCCUUUCAGUGGGGGACAACAGUUGGAAACGACUGCUAAUACCGCAUGACGCUUCUUAGGGCAUCCCUGAGAAGUCAAAGCUUUAUGUGCUGAAAGAUGGCCUCGCGUCUGAUUAGCUAGUUGGUGGGGUAACGGCCCACCAAGGCGACGAUCAGUAGCCGGUCUGAGAGGUUGAUCGGCCACAUUGGGACUGAGACACGGCCCAG